rnacentral:rRNA from 1 species
GACGAACGCUGGCGGCGUGCUUAACACAUGCAAGUCGAACGGAAAGGCCCUGCUUUUGUGGGGUGCUCGAGUGGCGAACGGGUGAGUAACCCGUGAGUCACCUGCCCUUGACUUUGGGAUAACUUCAGGAAACUGGUACUAAUACCGGAUAGGAGCUCCUGCUGCAUGGUGGGGGUUGGAAAGUUUCGGCGGUUGGGGAUGGACUCGCGGCUUAUCAGCUUGUUGGUGGGGUAGUGGCUUACCAAGGCUUUGACGGGUAGCCGGCCUGAGAGGGUGACCGGCCACAUUGGGACUGAGAUACGGCCCAGACUCCUACGGGAGGCAGCAGUGGGGAAUAUUGCACAAUGGGCGGAAGCCUGAUGCAGCAACGCCGCGUGCGGGAUGACGGCCUUCGGGUUGUAAACCGCUUUCGCCUGUGACGAAGCGUGAGUGACGGUAAUGGGUAAAGAAGCACCGGCUAACUACGUG